rfam:Oscillibacter valericigenes Sjm18-20 DNA, complete genome.
AAUAGCGUCCGGUAGGUAAGGCUACCACAGGGAUAUGGGUUGCUGCCGCAAAAUGAUGGAGACAUCACGAGAGGGUUUGAACAGGCGAUAUCGAAUUUUAAGGUAUCAUCUAAUGCAACUUCACUGCCUUGUGAAGCUAAAGCUUGAACGGUGGAGAGGCCGCA